rnacentral:piRNA from 1 species
UGCUGCAUUUCUCAAAGGAGUUCUUCA